rnacentral:rRNA from 1 species
AAAGAAAGCGCAAUAGCUCACUGGUCGAGUCGGCCUGCGCGGAAGAUGUAACGGGGCUAAACCAUGCACCGAAGCUGCGGCAGCGACACUCAGGUGUUGUUGGGUAGGGGAGCGUUCUGUAAGCCUGUGAAGGUGUGUCGUGAGGCAUGCUGGAGGUAUCAGAAGUGCGAAUGCUGACAUAAGUAACGAUAAAGCGGGUGAAAAGCCCGCUCGCCGGAAGACCAA